CCGCCCUCGGGACGGGGCGGGGGAGCGCGGCCGGGCGGGCCGAGGAGGACGGGCGGAGGGACCGUGACGCGCCGUCGGGGCGGGGCGGGGGCCGUACAAACGCGCUGGCGGCGGGCGCCGGGCGCCGCUUCCAGGCGGGUGAGGCGGGCGGCAGCUGGUGCUCGCUCCGCAGCCGCUGCUUCUACCACCGGGAGCGCUUCCCACGGCUGCGGUAUCCGCGGGCGCUCAUGGCACAGCACGGAGGGUGCUGCCCUACGGCUCCGCGCCCUGGCGUACAUUCUGUUAAGGUGAGCCUUUGUACACAAGGGGGGCAGGACGGACACAGCUGCCUUUCACCCGGAUUGUUUUCCUGGGGAAAGGUUUGAAAGGUUUCUGUUUGAGAAAUACGCAUCCACUCAGCAAAACAAAAACAACUUUUAAAGGUUGUUCUGGGUAGAAUUCGCUCCAUGCCCCAUUACCUGCUUGAGUGA
rnacentral:lncRNA from 1 species